GUUUCCAUGACGUCGCGGGGCGGGGCCGCGGCGUUCGAUGGAGGCCGGCGGGCUCCGCGGGACGGAGGAGACUAGGGCUCUGUGAGCACACGCGAGCCAGAUCCUCGUGCAUUCUGCCCGCAGUUCAGCACCGUCCUCGGCACGGAUCGCUGGCGCUCGGCGAGGCUUCCCCCGGUGCUUGGGGCUGCAUUUCUCCAUACAGCUUGACAAGAGGUGCUGCCACAACACAGCAGCAUUAUGGCCCCAGACCAGAGAGUGAAGAAAGACAUCUUGAGAACAAAGGUGCAACAUCUACAUGCAAAGAAUCAAAAUAACAAAGUAUAAAAUCCUGAGAUCUGGCCCAUUAAAGGACUUGGACCAGGCAUUAGAGAGAAGAAAAAAGAGAGCAGAGCAGGAUAACCGUGCUUUACACUACUAUAAAGAGCAGAAAAGAACAAGUUUGGGACAAUUUUCAUGAUAAAACAUUAAAAAAAAAAAAAAGAGGCAUGGAUAUGAUGAGACAGUGUGACCAUGGCUGCCUCUUAGAAAGCGAUAAAUAUCUGGUGAAUGAAUGUGUUCUGCAAAUUAUCUGCUAGCAGAGCGCAAAAAUACAUACAGUGACCACCCAGCCACCUCUACUCCCAGGACGUUUCCUAUAUAGCGCUUCCCCAGUUUGGAGUGUUCCUCCUUGCUUUCUCCCCAGUGGCAAAACACUUCUCACUUCGUGCUUGAAUUCCUAAAGAAUGGCAAAAGUCCUGAGUAAGGUGUAUCUUGGAAGCAUUUUGGUCCAAUUGACUAGGAAGAUUGGUUAAAAAUCACACUGCUGUAACCCAUCUCCCUGGAGCUAUUAGCCAUCACCUACUUUUGUGCCUGUCCUUGGUAUGGAUACGGAUUUGUCAGGCAGCUCUCCUGCCAUCCCAUGACACAAAAUGUGGGAAUAUCCAUUGCUAUUAACAAGGUGCAAAAGUGCUCUUGGGGCGUCCAUGGUAUGUACAUUGCCACACUGAAACAAAAAGCAUUAGUUCCUUUGAUUUUUCCUAUUGUGGAUGCUUUAAGAUGUGUUGCUUUGUAAGCCAUGGUCUUAUCUUUAAGAGCUUAUGGUCAGCUGAUGUUAGUUUGUGAGGCUCCAUUGAGUUCACUGAUGUUGUGGGCCCAUUCCAAUUCACGCUGACUGGGUAUCUGUUUCAUAAAUUGUAAUGUUGUGAUAUGCUGCUCUGUGAUCAAAUGACAAGUAUUUUGUUUAUUUUUCCCUUCCCUCUCCCCCCAAAGAUAAGAAGCAACACUGGUAACCAAACUCUCUCUGAGGCUAACAUCAACAUCACUGACCAGUCUGAGUCACGCUCCUGACUCACAGAAAUUAGUUUUAGGAAGAGUAAAUAUAGCCCCUCCUCUCUCUCAUCAGUGCUGGGUAAUUGUCUUGAGUAGAACAAUAAAUUGUCUCUUAGUAAUGCUUCUUCAAAGUCCUUUGGAUAAGAAAAUAGGUAAUUCAGUUAAGCCUUGGGUUCCUUCAGCAAACAUUAGCAUUUCUGCCCCUUGGCGAUUGUUCAAGAUGGUUUUGAAACAUUUAAGAGUCAUUAGAGCUAAUAGCUCCCAUUCUGAAUUUCCUUCAAGGAAGAGUAUCAGAAAAAAUGCACCACCUUAUUCCCACUACCUUAAUCAAGAUUUAAUCAUUCAAGUGAUAAACAAUGACCGGAACAUAUUUGAAUAAAUUAUUUAUUUUCUUUGUUGACCAGAUACAGCUCUAAAUCAUCUUGGCUGUUUUUAAGAUGCUAACAAAAACAUACCACCAGCCUAAAAUGACAUUUAAAAAAAAUAUUAAUAAUGACCUAUCUUACGCAUAUAGUUUAAAACUUUGGACACAAGCCUUGUGAGCCUUAUUCGGAAAUAAUUGUUUCCAGACUAUGAAUUGCAGAUCUAAAGAUUAUCUGUAUCAAGAUCUAAAUUUGGAUAUUUGUGCAGAAGUGUGGAUAUGAGAUAUAUAGUAUUAAACCCUUAAUAUUAAUCAUGCUAUGUAGUAGUGUAAAUUAUAGUAAAAUCAUUACAUAAGAUGCUUAUAUUACUGCAUAAAACCAGUACGCUUAGAGAAUUAGAUGAUGGGCAAUAACAAUAGGAAAGUCUUGACUGGGGCAUUGUCUCUAUUAUCAGGUAGUUCUACAGCUAUGAAGGCAAAGGUGAGAAGGAACAAACUUUUGCAAAUAAUUUAGUGUUCCUUAUUAGCUCAUGAAACAGAGGAAAAUUAAAUGAGUUCUUGUGAUAUCAGCUAUAUUUCUGUUAUGUAUUAGUAGAACAAAAAUCGAUAGCAUUUUCCUCUGUCUAACUUCCCUUUUGUCAAUUAGAUAACAUGGAAGCCUUGUAUUGAACCACCAGAGUUUAAAUACAUCAUCUUACGGACACAUCUAGUAACAGGACCGCUGUAGGUUAUUUUCAGUCUGCGACAUGUUAUGCAGCAGUAAAGGCAAUUUGGUUUAGGACAGAAGUGGAUUAAAAGAUACAAAAAUGUUUUGUACAUGGUAGCAGUCCAAACACAGACAGAUUUAUUAUCUUCAUUUCUGACUGGAUUCAGUAAAAGUUGCACACACUUACUAAUUGCUAAAACUGAUGCACCUAGGUUACUAAAAAUACCUUGGAUAACUGAAAGGGAUUUAAAAAUUAAUCCCAUAAAAGUCUUAUUUAUCUUUUGUGUUUAUUUCAGCUUGAUGUUAAACACAACCAAGUCCCUUUCACUGUGUGGUCAGCUGUCAGUGCUUUUCACAUUCAAGGCCUCAAGUCCUAGCAGAGGUUUUCAUAAAUUGUAAUUGCUCGCAAUUGCAAGGCAACUGAGAGCAGUUCACUGGGGUACCUGUGGCUGAUCUGUGGGACUACAUUUAGUAGUAAAUGUAUGACAUGUCCUUGACAGCAUAUGUAACGGUCUUUCCUAUUCUAGCUCAUUUGUGCAUGUUUUGGCUCUAUACAUUGAAUUUGAUGUUAUUUACUUACUCUUAUGAAUCAGUCUCUGCAGGAAUGCUUGCUCUACAGGUAGCUGCAGAAACACUUGUAAUGGAACUGGGGCAUGGGAGAUUUAAAUCAAGCUCAGCUAAAGUCACCUCUCUCCAUCAUCUGCUCUGGAUACAGAGUAGUAGAGGGGAAACUUUUGUUUUAUAAUGGAGGUGAUCCAUGUAUUUAUACUUGUCUGCUGAAUGUGGGGCAAAAUGCAAAGGUGAACCAAUCAUGGGCUCAAUCACAUACGGCAGUUUCAGAAACAGAUGAGGUAGGUAUUUGGGAUUUUCUAGAGAUCUUUCUGUAGGACAUUCCCGGCCCUGUUCCAUGAACCACACUCUUCCACCUCCUUUGAUCCCUUACAUAACUUCCUCUUCUUUUUUUUUUUCCUCUUCCUCUUCCUUUGCCUCUUUUCCUGUCAUGUACUCCAUCCUUCCCUUUUUUUUUUCCGUUUAAAGUAUUUUUUUUUCCAAGUUACACCUUUCUCACAGUUCCUGCCAAACAAAACAAAACAAAACAAAACAAAACAAAAAAAAACAAAACCCAAGAAAUCACAGAGACCUUAUACAUCAGAUGAUUAAUUUGCGAC